rnacentral:rRNA from 1 species
UACGUAGGGUGCGAGCGUUAAUCGGAAUUACUGGGCGUAAAGCGUGCGCAGGCGGUUUUGUAAGCCAGAUGUGAAAUCCCCGGGCUUAACCUGGGAAUGGCAUUUGGGACUGCAAGGCUCGAGUGCGGCAGAGGAGACUGGAAUUCCUGGUGUAGCAGUGAAAUUCGUAGAUAUCGGGAGGAACACCGGUGGCGAAGGCGGCGACCUGGGUAGAUACUGACGCUGAGGCGCGAAAGCUAGGGGAGCGAACGGGG